GGGGAAUAUUGGGCAAUGGGCGAAAGCCUGACCCAGCAACGCCGCGUGAGGGAAGAAGGUUUUCGGAUUGUAAACCUCUGUCCUUGGUGACGAAGGAAGUGACGGUAGCCAAGGAGGAAGCCCCGGCUAACUACGUGCCAGCAGCCGCGGUAAUACGUAGGGGGCGAGCGUUGUCCGGAAUGACUGGGCGUAAAGGGCGCGUAGGCGGCUUUUUAAGUUAGAAGUGGAAGUCCUGCUUUUAAGGUGGGAAUUGCUUUUAAUACUGGAAGGCUUGAGUGCAGAAGAGGUAAGUGGAAUUCCCAGUGUAGCGGUGAAAUGCGUAGAGAUUGGGAAGAACACCAGUGGCGAAGGCGACUUACUGGGCUGUAACUGACGCUGAGGCGCGAAAGCGUGGGGAGCAAACAGGAUUAGAUACCCUGGUAGU
rnacentral:rRNA from 1 species